GCCCCGGUGGCGGAACCGGUAGACGCUGCGGACUUAAAAUCCGCUGCCGCGUGAGCGGCGUGCCGGUUCGAGUCCGGCCCGGGGCA
rnacentral:tRNA from 1 species